UACGUAGGGCGCAAGCGUUAUCCGGAAUUAUUGGGCGUAAAGAGCUCGUAGGCGGUUUGUCGCGUCUGCCGUGAAAGUCCGGGGCUCAACUCCGGAUCUGCGGUGGGUACGGGCAGACUAGAGUGUGGUAGGGGGAGACUGGAAUUCCUGGUGUAGCGGUGAAGUGCGCAGAUAUCAGGAGGAACACCGGUGGCGAAGGCGGGCCUCUGGGCCGAUACUGACGCUGAGGAGCAAAAGCGUGGGGAGCGAACAGG
rnacentral:rRNA from 1 species